ACACACACUCACACAUGCCACCCCCAAAUAAUGGGCUCCCCUUCUCUGCACGGGAUGGGACAGUAGGAGGGAGUGACUCAGAGUGAAAUCGCAGGGUGGAAACGCCAGACACACCAACAGUUGAGAGGUUUUCAAGGUGGAGCGGUCGUGCUGGAAAUAUUUAUAUGGCAGUUGAGACCCUCUUCUCUUCAGCGGGGAGACGGUUGGAAACCCGUCACUCUUCCUCGACGACGGCUGCACCGCAGGCUUCCUCGUCGGUCAUGACCCGCCCCAUGGGCCCUGCCAUUGGACGCCUCCUCCCCCUCCUCCCCCUCCUCCUUUUGAUUGGCGGCUGUGUGGCGACAGCAGGAGGUCAUUCUGGCAUCAAACCCAGAGCUGUACGUUCGAGUGCCUGUCAGGACCACAGCAGACUCCAUAACCGCCUGGAUAUAGUGGAGAAGAAAGUUGAAGACACAGUGGAGAAGUUGGAAGACGAGCUGGCCAUUCUUCUGGACGCCAUCGAAGCCCCGGAGUGGGGCCCUCUACUGGACAUUACCGGGACACCAUCGGUGGACAUCCUCGAUGGACACGGAGAAAUUGCCCCGUUUGAUACGAAAUAAUAACGAUACGAGUAUAGACAUUGGGUAUGCAUCUUUUUACACCAGUUAGUUGAUUUUUCUCAAAAUGUAUCUUGUUCUUAAAGAAAGUUUAUAGGUUGCUGCAGAAAGACAAUACAAUGCGUAACAUAUUCGGACACAAAUGAUUGACGGUCUUCGCUAGAUCUACUAGCCAAACAUGUCUGUUUAUAUUGUUUGUACUCAUCUCUCUUUUAAAGAUGAUUUAUGCCUUUUGGCUACGAUUUUGACUCUUAUUUUACCAAUUGAUUCGCAAGGGAACCCAUCCUUUAUGCCAGUGCGUCUGUCGCCCCCUGUGGACAAUGAACAGCUCCAAUAACAA